GGUUCACCUGAGAAGAACACAGAAGGAAGGGAAGCCAGUCAGCAGGUAUUGGAUGCUGGUGAAUCAAUAAUGCUACACCUGGGAAUUUGGAUAUUUUGAUGAAUUUGAUUAUUGAUGAAAUGCAACCCUUGCCUUUUAAAAGUAGUCAAGUACAGUUCUUUCUGAAAUUGCAGAAGCCUCUCAAGCAUGUAAUUUGUGGCUUCCAAUGAGUUUGAACUUCAUGCUUGAAGUGACACAGAAAAGUCACCGGACUUCAAGACUGCAGUUCCAUCCUCAGGGGCAGAAAAAGGUCAUUACAUGGCUCUAUCAAGUGACAGCAUAUGGCCACAGGGAAAUCAGUUGACUGAUUUAGAAAAUGAAGGCUAUAACCUGGUAAAUCUCUAAGAAGUCAGUUUGAAUCCUUCACUUCAAACUAGUUUGACAUUGCAAGAAUCACAAGAAAGAAUGAGACCACUAAGACCAUCAAGCUGAAGGCAAGAGCAACAAAAUCAGGAACCAGCUAGGGAUUGGACAGCAAAACACACUUGGCAAGGUAGGAAAAUCAGCUUCAUGUGAUAUGUGUCAAUCCUGGCAGUAAGAUCCAUAUACAAGAAUAAUGGAAAAGUACUUACUUAAUGCACAUAGUCGUGAGAAGUAGAUUGAAAGUUCAUGGACAAAUGUGACAUAAAGACCAGCCAGAACUACAAAAUAAGGCAGUGCUACUAUUGGAAAGUAAUUGAGAGACACUGACUCAUAUGAAUGGUCAUUAGUCAUCAUGGAGAAAAUUAGAAGGUCUAGUGUCCUGCUUCUGGGCACAUUUUCAUCAGUUUUAAAGACACACUCUUUGCACACAAUUUAGUUCUUUAGAUUCCACCACAUCCAACAUGUUAGUGCAUUAAGUAAAUGUUGGCUAUAGAUAGAUUAAUGUUCAUGUUUGGAUUCUCACUAUAUGCUACUUCUGUUUUCAGUGAGUUCUGCAAUUUAUAUUGCAACAAUAACUCACAUGGCAACUUUAAUGUAUUACCUUUGGGUGUUUUCUGCAAUAUAAAGUCUUGCUCAAAAAUAAGUAGAUAAAAAUAUAUAAAUCAAGCACAUAUCCAUCCCUAAAAAUAAUUACAUAUAACACAUUUUCUUGUCUAGUUUAAUGUAUCUCUACAUGUUGCCAUGGUAAUUGCUGACAUUAAAUGGGGGAAAAUACAAUCCUUUAUAAUAUGUUAAGAUGCUCGAUGAAAAUAUGUGUUUUACCUAGGCACAAUUAAUGUGCAUUAAGUAGUUCAGCUGUGUCACAGAUCUAGGAAAAAAAGAUGACGUACAUAAAUAUUCAACAAAACUGAGAUAAACAUUGAGGUGAUGCUGUCCAGCCUGGAAUGUACUUCAGUUUGACAAUGAUUUUCUUGCUGUUUCUAGUUUGUCAGUUUUUAAUUAUUGGUUUCAUUUCAAACUAUAAAAAUCUUGAAAUCAGAAGAACUUUGAGGCACUAAGAAUUGGUUAUUUGACAUCCAGAUGAAACUUGUCUUAAUUUGGCAGCAGAAUGCCAUCAACUGCAUAAUAAAUGAUGAUGGCCCCCACACAUCCCAUAGAGCACUAACUGUUAUAAGAGGAAGCAUCUGCUCACUUUAGCCAUUAGGAAAGUUUUGGAGCUUUUCCAUGUACCUAUUUAUAUUAUUUAGCUAUGUUUGUAAAUAUAUUUAUACUCCCUGAUGGGACCAGUUUGGUUACAUGGACCAUUUGGGAGGUAAAGAAAGUUUAAACUGAUCGUAAAAGUUUCCUUCCAGAUAAAGGGAUAUGUCACUCUUUAUAAGAGCCAGAGAUUGAAUAAUUUUGGAUUCUAACCCAUAAUAAUCAAAUCACACUGUCAUUUUCUAUUUGAUAACAGUGCUGUUUAAUAGUGUUGUGGUAAAAAUCAAAGUUUAAGGUCAGGGCAGAAAUGGUGAUCAAUGACAUGGUACAGGAAAAAUAAUCCUUGGAGAAUGAAUACAAAUAAUGCUACUGACCAUUAUGUAGAGCUCACCACAUGUAAGAUACUGAGCUUUCUACUUCACAGAAGUGAGUUUACUUAAACUUCAAAACAAUCCACAAAAUGGGUAUUGAGAGCGUUAUUGUGCAUGUGGGAAAAGUGAGUUUUAAAGAUAUUAGCUGGGUGGCUUUCUGUCAUAUGCUGGUAAGUAGUAAAGCCCAGACCAAACCCAGGGUAGAGACUCCAUAAGCCAGUAUUUUUGAGCAUCUAUUGGUUGCCAUAUCAUCACAUUGGCUGUGGAUCAUGUGGCUGUGUUAUCACUUCAUUUUAUUUCUUUUCUCCACUUUACCCAGUAUGCCAAUUUUCACAAGCAACCUAAAAAGUGUUCAAAGACGAAGUCAUUUCAUCCUCUUCUGGAUGGAAUGAGGAAACUAGAAGGAUCCAUUUGUCAUUCAUACAGUUUUUCUCUAAAACCACUUGUGAUGCUGGGUAAUAGUCCCCAGAUGGAAGUCAUUAAAGUUUAAUUUGUAUGCAUAUGUGACAUCUUGCUUUUCAAAAUCUUUUUGACUUUACUCUAUUACUGAAACUAAUUGAUAUGUAUGAAAGAUAACUAAUUAAAAUGAGUAUAAAGCAGUUUUCUCCAAUAUAAAGCAUGCUAUAAAAUGCUAAUAGAACUAUAAAAAUAUAUGCAAAAAUCUGUCAAUUAUAAAAUUAACUUCAGAUGGGGAAACAAAUAUCAUUUAUCCUUUACAAUGUCCAAAUAAAUGACUUAUUUGGCAUCUAAAAUUCCUUUUUGUUUAACGUUAAUAAAAUCUCAAGAAUAAUAAUUGUCUUUCUUUUUAUAAUGCUAACCAGAAUAAAAUUUUGAAAAUGAUCAUAGUAGUUCUAAAUCAAAUUUCUAAAAAAAAAGUGUAAAUAGCUAGUGGCUGCGAACAUAUCUUUCUUAUGAUUAAAUAAAUUUAAAUCGCUGCCUGGCAAAUCGUUAUCAGAAAGAAAGUUUGUUUCUUGCCCUCAUGAGCAACUUAUGGUUGGAUGAUGGGUACAAAAGGAUGCUGUGUGGAGGAGCUACCCCUUUACCAGUGGAAGCAGCUACAGUGAGUAAACCUGGGCAGGACUGAUGCUGUCAGAUGUCCUUGGCUAUAAAGAAUCAGGGGAGGUAGGCUGAGGGAGGCCACACUCAUAACUGGGAAGACACAAAGGCUCUUCUCAUAUUCAUUGGGUAGACACAAAAGAAUAAAGAAAUUGUUUGCUUUGUUUCUGUACAUCCCUUGAAGGAAAGAUUAGAAAAGGCAGCCCUCAAAGGUAACAGUGUUUUAAACAUACUUAAAUUGAACUAUUCACUGUAUUUCUAAAUGUCCUCAUAAUUUUAUUAUAUUUUAAAAUUGGGGUCAUAUUUCAAAUACAUGUUCAUCUAGGUAGAAUUCAUUUAUUUACUAAUUGUAUUCAUUCUUCCAAAAAAAAUCUAUUGAAUGUAUACAAUAUGUCAAACAAAUAAUAUUACCCUUUGACGACAAACUAGCCUCUUUAUGGUACCUGCUGUCAUGGAGUUCACCAUCAAAUGGGGAACACAGGUAUUUUACAUAUAAUUACACGUGUUCCUUGACUUACAAUGGGGUUAGGUCCCAAUAAACCCUUCAUAAGUUGAAAAUAUUGUAAGUUGAAAAUACAUUUAAUACACCUAACCUAUGAAAAAAUUAUAGCUUAGCCUAAUGACCUUAAACAUGUUCAGAGCACUUAUAUUAAACUAUAGUUAGGCAAAAUCAUCUGGCACCAUAGUCCACUGUAGAGUACUGGUGGUUCACACUCAUGAUUGUAUGGCUGACUGUGGGCUGAGGCUCAGUGCCACUGUCCAGCAUACUGAGAGAGUAUCAUACCCCAUGUCGUUAACCUGAGUAAAGAUCAAAAUUCAAAAUUGGAAGUAUGGUUUCAACCAAAUGUGUAUUGUUUUUGCACCAUGGUAAAGUGAAAAACUUGUAAGUCAAACCACCAUAAAUUGAGGACCAUCUGUACCUAAUAAUUUGAAUUUAAUUUUGAUGACUUCAAGAACAGGGUGCAGCACAAUUCUAAAAUGGAAACCCUGACCAGUCCUGAAAAUCACCAUUCAUUAAUUGCAAUGCAAAAUUCAGAUGGAAGGAAGGCUGUUGUAUCCUGCAGGAUGGGGGCAGCCGGAGGAGAAUUUAAGAAAGGAAAAUUUUUAAGUGACCCUAAAGACGUAGGAGAAUUAAGUGUGACAACAGGUUCUUCUAGCUUCAUUGUUCACCAUGUAAAAAUUUCUAGCUAGAAAAAAAUAAGAUCUGAUAAAAAAAUUUUUAUUCAUAUCUAUUAGGAAAACAGGAUAAACUAACACUGUUGGGGAAGAGUAACUCUUUUUUGUUUGUGUGUUUUGAGACGGAGUCUCACUCUGUCAUCCAGGCUAGAGUGCAGAGGUACGAUAUUGGCUCACUGCAACCCUCACCUCUGGGGUUCACGCCAUUCUCCUGCCUCAGCCUCCUAGGUAGCUGGGACUACAGAGGCACACCACCACGCCUGGCUAAUUUUUUUUUUUUUUUAUUUUUAGUAGAGACGGAGUUUCACGAUGUUAGCCAGGAUUGUCUCGAUCUCCCAACCUCAUAAUCCGCCCCCCUCGGCCUUCCAAAGUGCUGGGAUUACAGCCGUGAACCACCAUGCCCAGACAGAAUAACGUAUUUGUUCUAGCUCUGGGAUUAUGGGUCCCUAGAUUUUCUUUGAGAAAGGGCUACACAUUUUUCUAUAGCUUCUCAACACUUCUGACGAGCAUAUUGUGGCAAACUAUGACAGUAAUGUUCAAGAGACAAUGGGAC